ACCUGACUAAAGAGAGAGGCCAGCUACAGACCAGUUACAACAACCUGACUAAAGAGAGAGACCAGCUACAAAAGGAGAGAGAUGGUCUCCUGAGAAAGUUCUCUAUUCUGAAACAAACCUGUCCCGAAGGCUGGCAGAAGUUUGAAUGCAGUUGUUACUUCAUCUCUACUGAGAAGAAAACCUGGAGGGACAGCAGACAGGACUGUCUGAAGAGAAGAGCAGACCUCGUCAUCGUAAACAGUUAUAAGGAACUAACAUUAAUCAAGGGGUUUAACGAAGUCUAUGUAACCUGGAUUGGUCUGACUGACUCUGUUACUGAGGGGACCUGGAAAUGGGUGGACUGGAACCCCACUGACCAACCCAAGGUAUUGGGACAUUCGAGAGCCUAAUGGUGGUGUACGUGAGAAUUGUGUGUUGUCCGGUCACAGUUCAUCAGGCCAAGGAACAUGGCAUGACUAUCCGUGUUCAUUUAACAGUUCCUGGAUCUGUGAGAUAUAGUUAUCUCUUGCUCUCUCGUAGUUAUCAUGUUGAUGGUCGUGCUGAAUGUCAUGAUGCCAACUACAGUGCCUUCAGAAAGUGUUCACACCCCUUGACUUUUUCCACAUUUUGUUGUGU